UUUAAAUGAUGAUAAAUGACUUAAUCCCAGCUCAUUAUGAGACCUUUAGUGGUCAGGGAAUUGACUCUAUCCAACAUUUAUCUGAUCAUUAUU